rnacentral:rRNA from 1 species
GAUGAACGCUAGCUACAGGCUUAACACAUGCAAGUCGAGGGGUAGCAUGUUGGUUGCUUGCAACCGAUGAUGACGACCGGCGCACGGGUGAGUAACGCGUAUCCAACUUGGCUUAUACUUAGGGAUAACCCGUUGAAAGACGGCCUAAUACCUAAUGGUUUAUAAUAGUUGCAUGACUUUUAUAAUAAAGAUUUAUCGGUAUAAGAUAGGGAUGCGUCUGAUUAGUUAGUUGGUGAGGUAACGGCUCACCAAGGCAUCGAUCAGUAGGGGUUCUGAGAGGAAGGUCCCCCACAUUGGAACUGAGACACGGUCCAAACUCCUACGGGAGGCAGCAGUGAGGAAUAUUGGUCAAUGGACGUAAGUCUGAACCAGCCAAGUAGCGUGCAGGAUGACGGCCCUAUGGGUUGUAAACUGCUUUUAUGUGAGAAUAAAGUUAACUACGUGUAGUUAUUUGCAUGUAUCACGUGAAUAAGGACCGGCUAAUUCCGUGCCAGCAGCCGCGGUAAUACGGAAGGUCCAGGCGUUAUCCGGAUUUAUUGGGUUUAAAGGGAGCGUAGGCCGUUUGGUAAGCGUGCUGUGAAAUUUAGAGGCUCAACCUCUACCGUGCAGCGCGAACUGUCAGACUUGAGUGCGUAGUAGGUAGGCGGAAUUCGUGGUGUAGCGGUGAAAUGCUUAGAUAUCACGAAGAACUCCGAUUGCGAAGGCAGCUUACCGUAUCGCAACUGACGCUGAUGCUCGAAGGUGCGGGUAUCGAACAGGAUUAGAUACCCUGGUAGUCCGCACAGUAAACGAUGGAUGCUCGCUGUUGGCUUUUAUAGUCAGUGGCUUAGCGAAAGCGUUAAGCAUCCCACCUGGGGAGUACGCCGGCAACGGUGAAACUCAAAGGAAUUGACGGGGGCCCGCACAAGCGGAGGAACAUGUGGUUUAAUUCGAUGAUACGCGAGGAACCUUACCCGGGCUUGAACUGCAGGAGAACGAUUCAGAGAUGAUGAGGUCCUUCGGGACUCCUGUGGAGGUGCUGCAUGGUUGUCGUCAGCUCGUGCCGUGAGGUGUCGGCUUAAGUGCCAUAACGAGCGCAACCCCUUUUCUUAGUUGCCAUCGGGUGAUGCCGGGCACUCUGAGGAUACUGCCACCGUAAGGUGUGAGGAAGGUGGGGAUGACGUCAAAUCAGCACGGCCCUUACGUCCGGGGCUACACACGUGUUACAAUGGGGCAUACAGAGUGUUGGUUGCAUGUAAAUGUAAUCUAAUCUUUAAAGUGCUUCUCAGUUCGGACUGGGGUCUGCGACCCGACCCCACGAAGCUGGAUUCGCUAGUAAUCGCGCAUCAGCCAUGGCGCGGUGAAUACGUUCCCGGGCCU